rnacentral:rRNA from 1 species
UACGGAGGGCGCUAGCGUUGUUCGGAAAUACUGGGCGUAAAGCGCACGUAGGCGGCGCGGCAAGUCAGGGGUGAAAUCCCGGGGCUCAACCCCGGAACUGCCCUUGAAACUGCAGUGCUAGAAUCUUGGAGAGGCGAGUGGAAUUCCGAGUGUAGAGGUGAAAUUCGUAGAUAUUCGGAAGAACACCAGUGGCGAAGGCGACUCGCUGGACAAGUAUUGACGCUGAGGUGCGAAAGCGUGGGGAGCAAACAGG